rnacentral:rRNA from 1 species
AUACGUAGGGUGCGAGCGUUGUCCGGAAUUACUGGGCGUAAAGAGCUCGUAGGUGGUUUGUCGCGUCGUCUGUGAAAUUCCGGGGCUUAACUCCGGGCGUGCAGGCGAUACGGGCAUAACUUGAGUACUGCAGGGGAGACUGGAAUUCCUGGUGUAGCGGUGAAAUGCGCAGAUAUCAGGAGGAACACCGGUGGCGAAGGCGGGUCUCUGGGCAGUAACUGACGCUGAGGAGCGAAGGCAUGGGUAGCGAACAGGAUUAGAUACCCUGGUAGUCCAUGCCGUAAACGGUGGGCGCUAGGUGUAGGGGUCUUCCACGACUUCUGUGCCGUAGCUAACGCAUUAAGCGCCCCGCCUGGGGAGUACGGCCGCAAGGCUAAAACUCAAAUGAAUUGACGGGG